UACGUAGGGUGCGAGCGUUAAUCGGAAUUACUGGGCGUAAAGCGUGCGCAGGCGGUUUUGUAAGACAGAUGGGAAAUCCCCGGGCUUAAACUGGGAACUGCAUUUGUGACUGCAAGACUAGAGUAAGGCAGAGGGGGGUAGAAUUCCACGUGUAGCAGUGAAAUGCGUAGAUAUGUGGAGGAAUACCGAUGGCGAAGGCAGCCCCCUGGGAUAACACUGACGCUCAUGUACGAAAGCGUGGGGAGCAAACAGG
rnacentral:rRNA from 1 species